GACGAACGCUGGCGGCGUGCCUAAUACAUGCAAGUCGAGCGAAUUUCAUUGAGAGCUUGCUUUCAAUGGAGUUAGCGGCGGACGGGUGAGUAACACGUAGGUAACCUGCCUGCAAGACCGGGAUAACAUUCGGAAACGAAUGCUAAUACCGGAUACGCAAUUCUCUCGCAUGAGGGGAUUGGGAAAGGCGGAGCAAUCUGCCGCUUGUAGAUGGACCUGCGGCGCAUUAGCUAGUUGGUGGGGUAACGGCUCACCAAGGCGACGAUGCGUAGCCGACCUGAGAGGGUGAUCGGCCACACUGGGACUGAGACACGGCCCAGACUCCUACGGGAGGCAGCAGUAGGGAAUCUUCCGCAAUGGACGAAAGUCUGACGGAGCAACGCCGCGUGAGUGAUGAAGGUUUUCGGAUCGUAAAGCUCUGUUGCCAGGGAAGAACAGCCUGGAGAGUAACUGCUCCAGGUGUGACGGUACCUGAGAAGAAAGCCCCGGCUAACUACGUGCCAGCCGCCGCAGUAAUAC
rnacentral:rRNA from 1 species